rnacentral:rRNA from 1 species
AAAAAGAAACAUACUAUGGUAAAAGCACCUAACUUCAUAAGGUCAUGAAUGUUAAGCAUUGUCUGGUCAGGAUAGUGCUUGGAUGGGGGACUGCCUGGGUACUUCCGGUUUUGUGGAAU